rnacentral:rRNA from 1 species
AGUGAACGCUGGCGGUAGGCCUAACACAUGCAAGUCGAACGGCAGCACAGUAAGAGCUUGCUCUUACGGGUGGCGAGUGGCGGACGGGUGAGGAAUACAUCGGAAUCUACUUUUUCGUGGGGGAUAACGUAGGGAAACUUACGCUAAUACCGCAUACGACCUACGGGUGAAAGCAGGGGAUCUUCGGACCUUGCGCGAUUGAAUGAGCCGAUGUCGGAUUAGCUAGUUGGCGGGGUAAAGGCCCACCAAGGCGACGAUCCGUAGCUGGUCUGAGAGGAUGAGAAGCAAAAAGGGAACGGAGACAAGGCCAAGACUCAGACGGGAGGCAGCAGUGGGGAAUAUUGGACAAGGGGCGAAAGCCUGACACAGCCAUGCCGGGGGGGGGAAGAAGGCCUUCGGAUUGUAAAGCCCUUUUGUGGGGAAAGAAAAGAAGGAGGUAAAUAACCGGCUGUUGUGACGGUACAAAAAGAAAAAGAACCGGCUAACUUCGUG